GAGUACUAAAAAGUAUUUGUACACAAUGAUGAUAUGCAUUCUUAUUCUUUCUGUUGUGUCAAGAAAGGCAAUACUCCAAAAAACAGCCCCGGACAUUUUUCCAGCCAAGAUCUUUCGGACUGCAGGAACAAUAAUGGAGGGUAGUGACCUGGAGUUAAAAUGUAGUACACAUGGACGCAAAGAUGAACAAAAAAAUGUACAUGUUUAUUUGUGCAAGAAUGGUGUUGCUUUUGAAAAAAUCAUGAAUAGAAAAGAUGAUACUAUUUUCACCCUGAGAAAUAUGGACAGACAACAGAGUGGUAAUUACAGCUGUGUGUUCUCUAAUAACUUGUACACACUCUCUGAAGUCCGAGAGAAAGGGGACAAUUCCAUUUAUAUCCAGGUCAUUGAUCGGAUUCUCCCUGCAGUCAUAUCAAUUACAGGCUCAAACACAGCAAAACAGGGAGAUAAUGUGGAGUUUAAGUGUACUAUUUCAGACCCCAUACAUACCAGUGAAUUAGUUCACUCUUACCUCUGCAAGAAUGGAACUCAUGUUCAGGUGCAGG